rnacentral:lncRNA from 1 species
UUUCUUGCUUUGAUACCUGAAACAACAAUCCAAAUGAAAUACACAUAUAUUUUUUCCUCUUCUUUCAUUUCAGGAAUAAUUCUGUCUACUUUUUAUACUCUCGGUUAUUUACUUUCUCAUCUUUUUUUUCGCAGAUUUAAUUUUGCCAUACUCGCAUCGGAACUCUGCUGUUCACCUCCAGAUUCAGCAAGGCAUGCAAAUUGAGUAGGGAACUCAUGUGAAUCGUUUUAAUUCUGAUAUUAAUUCUACUCUUUUCUGCAGAUUUUUUUCCGGCAUCGUCAAACUUGCUGCUCUACUGAUCAACUAUA